rnacentral:lncRNA from 1 species
AACAUAUCCAUUUGACAUCAUCUAUCCCUUUAGCCUUAGUGGGGACCAUCUUCCUGUACGUGGUCAUGAUAUCUUUUGGAUGCAGCUUUAUUUGCCUUUAAGCCUAUAGAUAAGAUACUUCGUUCCUUAUCCAUUUGACAUUAUAUAUUGUUCCUUGGGCCUCGUCAGUUGUGGAAUUCAAGGAUGGACAAACGAUCCGCCACUGCUUGUUUUAUGGUGAUGCUUGUGUUGUUAGGAAGCAGUAUGACUGCAGGUAUGUUCUAGCUUUUGUUCUUCUGAAGUAGGUUUCUUAUGGAAUUACUGGAAGUUUUCUUAAAUACGAUGUUGACGCACAUUGUUUCUAUGCCGUGGAGGAAUAAUACAUGUUACCAAUUAUGCAAUAGUUGGACACGGUAUGUUAUUACAAUUGAUGUCUCACUAUUAUGGUCUAACCCUUAAUAUAUUUGAGAUGCACAGAGAACUGUGAGAUUAAGCGCGACAGGAUGACAUUUUGUAUAAAGUCUGAAUGUCUGUAUCAUUGCCAGCAUCGUUGGUAUUAUAAAGUCACGCAGUCUUGGUGUGAUGGUGUCUUCUUCGGCUUCUGCAACUGCAAGAUUUGCAUCGUCAUAUAGAACUUCAAUGGAUACUUACUAUGUCAAGUGCACUUGAAUCUUUGUUUUAACAAUUGAGCACUAUGUAUCCAGGAGUAAUAGAGUUAUGUUUGGAAGCGAUAAUAAUAUGUCUAGUCUCAUAAAAAUCUGCUUAAAGGCAAAACUCAUAGAGUUAUUAAUAAAUAUAGUAAAUGCUAAGUGCACUUGAAGCUUUCAUUUAUACUGGAAUCAGUGCUUAAAACCUAAAUCCAUGGACCAUACAUAUAGAUCGAUUACAUUAGUCUAUGAGUAACUCUAAUAGAUUACUUAAAACCUCUAAGUUCUUUACAGAACUAU